rnacentral:lncRNA from 1 species
UUAGGCACAGCAAAUUCAAAUGCUAUUUAUUGAAGGCUGGAGGUGUCCAGGCUCUUGCGGCUUGUGGAAUGCUCCCCUCUUCCCCACCCUGCUCCCCACUCUCCCAGUCCUCACCCCCCACUGGCAAAUGAACUUGCGUUUCCUUCCAUGCAAGUCCACUGAAAUCAGGAUAUUAGUUAUAUUUGAAGCGACAUGUUCUAAAGUUACUCGGAAAGAAAAAGGUAUCAGUUUUCCAUCAAGGCACUUCCCAUCUCAGACGUGGUCCUGGGGAUGUGCCCCUGACACCGAAACCAGCAGACCCUGCCUGUGGCUAUGAACGGGGCUGCAGGUUAUGAAUGGGGCACUCCGGCGUUCUGAGAACUGAGCACUCCGACGUUCUGAGAACUGGGCACAGGGGCACCAGGCCCUA